rnacentral:rRNA from 2 species
CAAUAAGCGGAGGAAAAGAAACCAACAGGGAUUGCCUUAGUAACGGCGAGUGAAGCGGCAACAGCUCAAAUUUGAAAUCUGGUUACUUCGUAGCCCGAGUUGUAAUUUGUAGAGGAUGCUUUUGGUGAGGUGCUUUCUGAGUUCCCUGGAACGGGACGCCAAAGAGGGUGAGAGCCCCGUACAGUUAGAUACCAAACCUUUGUAUAGCUCCUUCGACGAGUCGAGUAGUUUGGGAAUGCUGCUCUAAAUGGGAGGUAUAUCUCUUCUAAAGCUAAAUAUAGGCUAGAGACCGAUAGCGCACAAGUAGAGUGAUCGAAAGAUGAAAAGCACUUUGAAAAGAGAGUUAAACAGCACGUGAAAUUGUUGAAAGGGAAGCGCCUAUGACCAGACUUGUUUCUAUCAGUUUUGGUAGUUUUCGGACUGCUUUACUCUGUUAGUACAGGCCAACAUCAGUUUGUUGUCGGGGAGAAAGGUUUAGGGAAUGUGGCUCCUCCGGGAGUGUUAUAGCCCUUUACAUAAUACCCUUCGGCAGACUGAGGACCGCGCUUCGGCAAGGAUGUUGGCGUAAUGG